AUGACCUUGUCUUCUUCCACCACGCAGGCAGGCACCUGCGUGUGGCCGCUCCGACCGUCGAUCCCGGCGGGGAGAUGUCCGCCGCCGCCGAAGCCCCUCGAGGGGAUAAGAACGCCACGACGCCUCUCCCCCUCAGCUCGUCCGUAUCCUCUCCCUUUCCUGGCUCUCUCCUCCUCUCUCUGCGAGCGCGCCGAGCCAAACCCUGGCCGCCGGCAGACGCCGCUUCGCGCCGCCGUUCCGGCCACCCCCGCGCCCAACCGCCACCACCACCGGCUCCGCCUCCUCCUUCUGCUCCUCCCCGUCGAAGGAAUCGACGAGGGGAGGCCCCAAUCGACGCUGCCGUCCGCGUCUUCCCCGACCACGGCCGCUGCUCGCCGCCGUCGAUUCGGCGCCGUCCGGCGUCCCCCGUCGUCACCGACCGCACCGUCGCGCUCGUGAGCAACUGCCGAGACGAUGAAGAUCGACAACACCGAAGGUCAAUGUCUGUCCACCGACGAACAAUUCAAGCAUGGGAUCUUCAAAUAUCCAUAUUGGUUUGUCAGGGACAAAGGCAAGCCCUAGCCUGGUUCAUAUUAUGAUUUCAAAAUGCUUUUA